GACGAACGCUGGCGGCGUGCUUAACACAUGCAAGUCAGGGGGCGGGGUAACCCGUCACCGGCGAACGGGUGCGGAACACGUGAGAGACCUGCCCUGGUGUGGGGGAUAGCCGGCCCAACGGCCGGGUAAUACCGCAUACGGCGCCCGCUUGGAAGCGAGAGGCGAAAGUCGCACGAGGCGCUGGGAGGGGCUCGCGGCCUGUCAGCGAGUUGGUGCGGUAACAGCGCACGAAGGCUAUGACGGGUAGCUGGCCUCGGAGGAUGGCCAGCCACAUAGGGACUGAGGGACGGCCCAGACUGCUACGCGAGGCAGAAGUGGGCAGUAUUGCGCAAUGGGCGAUAGUCUGACGCAGCGGCGCCGCGUGGAGGAUGAGGCCGUGCGGGGUGUAAACUCCUGUGGCCCGUGACGAAUGCUUCGCAUCGGCGGUGUUGACGGUACCGGGUGAGUAAGCACCGGCUAACUCUGUG
rnacentral:rRNA from 1 species